rnacentral:rRNA from 1 species
CCAGUAGUGUAUGCUUCCCCUCGAGACUAAGCCAUGCAUGCCUCUGACUAGAAGUAGCACGUCUCUCUGAAUCUGCGAACGGCUCCGCAAACCAGUUGUAACACGCGGCGAGCUGGCAUUGGGGUACUGUACGGGUUCGGCCCCACCUUCGGGCGGCGGCCGGCCCUGCGGUCCCCUUUGUCACAUGGACACCCCUGGCAAUUCUGAGGCUAAUACAAGAUUCGUACCACCUGGGCCGUCCCGCACCCACGCUCCCCCCCGGGUAACACCGGGGGGUGCGCGUGGGAUGUGGGCGACCCGGGGGCUGUGCCGGGUAACGCAGAUAACUAUGACUAGCGGCAAUGUUCAUGCAGGACCACCUUACCCAGGGUCGGUGCCCCCCUCCUUUCCCGUGCGUGCCUUCCCCUAACCGGGUCGGCACGCGUGGGUCAGGCAGCCGGGGGUCCUUCCCGGUGGCUCUCGCAAUAGGCUUCUGACCUAUCAACUAGACCGCAGGGCAAUGUCCACGCCGUGGUGACAACGGGUACAGAGGAUAAGGGUUUGAUCCUGGAGAGUGGGCCUGAGAGAUUGCUCACACUUCUAAGGAAGGCAGCAGGCGCGUAACGUUCCCAGUGGGCAAAGCCCGAGGGCGUUAGAGGGCAUAUGGACGACUGCCUUCGGGUGGACGAUCCAAA